rnacentral:rRNA from 1 species
AUGCCGUCCAUCCGCGCGCUCGUGCGCCUCGCCGCCCCCCACCCGCCGCGCGCCGGCGCGCCGGAAGAGAGCCCCCCGCAGCGGCGUUCCGGCUCCUCCCCCUCCUCCUCGUCGGCCUCGGCGCCCGCCAGGCCGGCGGCGGCGCCGCUGCCGCCGCAGGGCCCGGUGUACCCGCUGCGGGACUUCCCGGGGAGCGAGGCGGCCGCGCUGUGCGGCGCGUUCCGGGACAACGCGCGGUGGCUGCUGGCGCGCUGGGCCCCCGUCGACGCCGCCGGGUCCUCCCCGGGCCCCGCCGCGCGCCGGGCGUUCCUCUCCGACGACCGCACCGGCGCCGUCGUCCCCGUCGUCGCCGUCGAGGUGCCCGCCGCCUCCUCCCCCGCCCCGCUCUGCGGCCUCUGCCGCUGCGCCGGUUGGAGCCACCACUGGGUGUCAAAACGGAGCUACCAUUUCAUCAUCCCGGCGGACGCGGACUGGGACCGGCAUUUCGGUACCGACGGGCUGCUUGGGCGCAGCGACCACCUCCUCCAUGGCCUCAUCCACUGCAAUGGCUUUGGCCACCUCUUCGCCCUCCGCGGCCGCGACGGUGGCUCGGCUUUCCUCUCUGGUCAUGACAUAAUGGAUAUCUGGGAUCGCCUCUGCUCUGCUCUCCGUGUCAGGGCCGUGUCUCUGGUGGAUUUUUCUCGGAAGCACUCUAUGGACCUCCGCCUCCUGCUCGGUGUGGCAAAUGGUGAGACAUGGUUCACCCGCUGGGGAUACUGCCUCGGCAGGAGAUGCUUCAACAUGUCUACCUCUGCCUAUGCCACUGCUUUGGAAUCUCUGGCUUCACUGCAUGUUGACCAUCUUCGCAGCCGACAUGUUCGUCGUGUGGUCACCAUCUACCGGCGCCUAUCCAACAAGCCUCUGAUCACUGUCAGCGAGUUCCUCCGCUGCCUCCUUGACUGGAAACACCAUGAAGCACCCCUUUCACCACCUCCUGUGAAGCCAUGCUCCCGGCUCCCAUUCCUGCUGCCGAGGCCGUGUACGAUGAAGAGGAGCCCGCCGUGCAAGCGGUUUGAGGAUGUGAUUGACCUGCUCCAUUGUCGAUGGUCCAAGAAGCGUAUGCUCAAUGCAGCAGAGGUUGUUGUUGAAAAGCUGCUUGAGCAUGGAAAUGAUGCUGAGAUGACAAGGCAGGCAGUGCGAGAUGCUGCCAGGGUUGAGAUCGGCGAUACUGGUCUCCUUGACUUUGUCAUCAAGUCCCUUGGUGACACCGUUGUUGGCAACCAUAUUGUGCGCCGUCUUCCCAGCACUGUGACGCGUGUGCUCACGUUCAGCCUUGAGGAAUGGGGAGAGCCAGUGCAGAUGGAUGUUGACGUACAGAACACCCGUCCUGCAGCACCGUGGCCGAGCACAGUGGAUGUCGAGCGGGAUCUGUGUGCUGUCUACCGGGCAAUGGUGGAGGCGCUAAGUGGGGCAGCACAGGCCGUGCUGGACUGCAAGCACUGGGUGAAGUGCUGGGGCCUUGGGGAUGAGUCUGACGAUCAGCUAAGGUUCCUCGUUGAGUGGCGACCGCAGCCUUGGGAAGCUGCUGAGCUCACACGGCCACUGCCGUCAGGGGAGAUCGUUGUGGUGCCAGUCCAUACAUCGAUAGGCGAGCUUAUCAUCGAGGCAGAGCAUGCGCUGAGGGACACGUACUGCUUCUUUGAGGAGUUCCAGGCUGAGUCGCUCGACGGCAUUACUGGGGAGAAGUGGGAUCCAGUGGUGCUUGGUGGAGCAGAGUCUGGGGACACGAUCGGCGUGCAUGGCCACGGGGCGGACAUGGAGACCGGGCUGCGGUGCGAGGGCGGGCUUGACAUGUGGGAAGUGAGGUGCGUGUGCGGUGCGCGGGAUGAUGACGGCGAGCGCAUGGUGGCCUGCGACGCUUGCGAUGUAUGGCACCACACGCGGUGUGUCGGCAUUGCGGACAGCGACGCGGUGCCGCCAUUGUUCCUGUGCAUACUCUGCGGCGGCGCGCUCCUAGCAGCCGGCCCGAUUCUGGAGGAGGCACUAACGCUAGCCAAGUGA